GUUACGCGAGCCAUGCUGCGUGUAUGAAGUCUAUGUGGUGCCCCUGUGAAUUUCUGAGUUCUCCCUGAGGAUCUGUACAGAACGUAUUGUGAAAAAACUAGUUUAGGAGCUGUUUACAGACUGACUACGCAGGCGCAAGAUUUCUCGCGUGAGAGUGAACAGUUUUGUAUUAGUAUAUGUUUAUUUGUCUUUACGAGUGUAACCGUGCUUAUAUUCUAGGAUCACUGCGAUUGAAGCAUUCGAGAAAUAAACGUUCGGAACCAUAUUAUUAUCCUUUGUUAUGGAGAGCGUUGAGAGGAGGAAGGCUUACAAUCCAAUCUCGAGAAAUACCGCACGGUAUAUACAUUAG